AUUUGUUACAUAUGGUUUUCUCAUUAUUUAUGAAACUUAACCAUAAAAGAAUGAUAUAACUCCUGUACAAUGAAGGUGGUAGCAGUGAAGACAGGGGAGACUAAUGUCGGACAACAUCUGAGGGUUUGGUCCACAAUACCUCUUUCAUGAGACGUCUUGCACCUGUUUGACUUUUCCUUCCUUCCUUUUUAAUUUUAAGCCAAAGUGUUAUUACUGAUGUUUUGAGUUGCUGCUGCUUCAGAAUCCUGAGCGUGUCUCCUGCAACAAAGCCUCCACACAUGUCCACGCAACCAGUUGAAAUUUAUUGAAGAGGCCAGAUACAUUUUUUUAAGGAACAGAUGUGGAAUACAUUUGCCCAUAUUCCAACCGUAACUGAAGUUACGCCUUAUUAAGCUUCAACAUGUAGGGUAAUUGAAGUACAUACAGCCUUUACCAACUUGGGAUUAGAAGGCACAGCUAUUUCAUAGACUCUCUACACCCUCAUUGGAUAGUUUUUCUUCUGGGCCCACUUACUUUAGCCCGAAGUUGAUAAAAUUAAAAGUCUCUCUUGGGGAAACCAUGCUUUUGAGAGCAUAGAACAAGUUACCCUUCCUCUCUCACUGACAGUGAUGAAACAGAGAUUAGCAGCCAUUUCUCCCAGCAGUUUUAAAGGGUGAACAUUAGAUUUCAUGCCCUCCUAUGACAGAAAAACUGCUUUUAAAAUUGGGGGGGGCCUAAACUUGGUUAUACACAAAAAUCACAUUUCGUAGAAAUUUCAGACUAUAAUGAUCUGUACACAGUGCUCAUUUUCACUUUUGUCUGAUUUCUUUCCUAUUUCCUAAGUCAUCAGAUAAGCCCAAAAACCUAAAGGAUUUUUCUCCCUUGAAUGUGAUUGGCAUUAAAUUUAGCAUUGUCAUUUAUUUAGUAUUAAAAGCAUAUGAUUACUGCCCCUUAAUAUGCCCUUUUGUCAUUAGCUCUUAUGCCAUGCAUCACAUGUCUUCACUCAUCCCUGUCAUAAUUCCAGGAGAUUAAUUAAAAUUCUUGUUACUACCAAAAUUCUACCAAUUAACUGACAUUUUCUUUUUAAAGGAGUUUUUUUCAUCUUUAUUCUGUCAGGCUUCCAAAAUUUGGCCCCUUCCUGAAUUGAGACCUUUUUUUCCUGAAAAAUCACUAAGCUCUGUGGCCUUUACUGCUUUUUUUGUUUUGCCAAGCAUAUUCCUUGGCCCAAAACUGAAGAAUAGAAACUUAAUUUUUUUUUUUAGUUUAAAUAAAAUGGAUCAUUUCUAAUAAUCAGUGGUAACAAUUUAGUGACCCUUAAUAGAUGAAAGGUUACAUUAUUUAUACUCGGGAUUUUUUUUUCUAACUAUUCUGGUUUUGUACGGUAAAACUAUGGGAAAUAUCACUGGUCUGUCCAGAAGGAGUAGUAAUUAUUACUGAGUUAUGUAGAAAAGUCCAGUGGACCAGUCAUUUCUUGUACAAAUAAAUUUGGUGGUACUACUGUGUAUCCAGAGCAAUUUGACUUGUCAAAACUUCAUUCUCUGUUAGUAAACCUAUAUAAUGACACACUUAAAAUCUUACAGUUGACUUCUGGUAUUUUAAUUCCCCAGUGUUUUUACUUUAGUGUAUCCUAUGACUGGUUUGGUCUUUUUUCAACUAUUAUGAUUCUCGACCCUGAUCAGUAUUAUUUUUUCAUAGAUAAUGCAUUGUUCGAAUAUAUUCUUUUCCUGCUGUUGGUCCAGUCAGAAUAGUUUGUUCAGGAAUGAUAAGGCUUAGGUAACUUUCCGCUCACUUUGACAGAUGCUUAAACAUGUUUUUUAACAACAGCUUUAUGUUCCUCCUGAAGCUCUAAAGAGAAAAGAAGGCUUUUCCUCAUCAAGAGGAAACAGUUUGGAAGAAAGAAUAUAUAAUUUUUUCCUCCAGAAAAGGCAAUGUGCAUUUUUCUCACCUAACUUUUAUAUGCUCUAGUUGUGAUUGCUGUGUCCUACCUAAAAUUUUACUGGAGCGUCUUGUACACUGAAACUCUCAAUAGAACUCCUAGGAAAUGAACAUCACAGAGUUAUUUUAAAGGAGCAGCAAUCUAACCAAAGGAAAAACAUUAUUUGAUUUUGGGUUUAGGAAGUCUAGUUUUAUUUUAUUUGAGAAUCACUCAAUUGAUGGUAUUAGUUAAAAUACCCCUAAAUGAAUGAAAAAGUAUUUUUUUAAAAAGGAUAAAAUUUCUUUUUCAUUUUGUGAUAAUAUGGAAAACAUUGAUGUGUGUAGAGAAAGUAAAAGACAAAAGUGGCGUAUUUUCUAUGCACAAAUAUGCACUCUAAUUAAAGCUGCCUAUACUAUUAAAAUGGAGUAAUUGAGGAUUUCAUAUCAUACAGAGAGACAUUAAAAUGAUCAUACAUAGUCAUUAAUUAGGUCAUAAUAGUUAUUUUUAAGAUUGGAAAGAGGUUGGAAACCUCUGUGCAACUUUCUUUUCCAGCAUCAGCCCUUUUUCUCCUUAAAAAAGCUGCUUCAUUUCAGAUACAAAAGCAGUGCUGUGGGAGGAGAAUGCCAGUCACCCCAGCAGUAGCACGUGUGAGCCCUUAGAGAAGGAAAACGGAGCCCAGCCCCUCGGAUUUGUGACAUCCCAGUAUUCCAGCAUGAGAGUUUGAAGGUUUUAACUGAGAUGUUGCUGGAAGUAACUUGUUGGUAUAUGAUAUCCUUCUACCGUGGUUUGACCAAAGUAUAUUCAUGAGAACUAGAGAAAGCAAUUCAUGCCUUCUUAACCAAGGCAAGUUAAUAGGAGAAAAUAGCCUAUGUACAGGCAUUGAUUAAUAGACAUUUAGUUGAAGAGAAAUAAGGUAAUUGUGGAGGUAGCAGAGAAGAGCAAAAGGAAGUUGGACCUUGGCAGCAGAAGCCGGGCCGUGAGGAAAGUAGGUGAGCUUGACCACAUGGAGGUGAUGCUGCCUUUUGCGAUCUUUCCUUUGGGUGGUUAUACUGCUGGUAGACACCUGCCUGUUUUGCUACCCUCUUUCUCCACUACUUUCCUUUACUCGGGAAAUAGUUCUUUAUGCCCAAAUGCAAUUUUCUUAGCAAUGACUAGAAAAAAUUUUUAGUCUAAGGAAAGUAAGUUAGAAAAUAACUAUCCAUGGUGUUAUUUUAUUCAAAUAUUUAGGAUUCUCUGAUGUGAUUGCACUUUAUUUGGUAAAUCAAUUUCAGAUUAUUUUCUGUAAUAGUUUGCAUGAAAUUUUUUAGCUCUUAAGAAAUAAGAGCUGUACAGCAUAUUGAAAUUUUAAAAAUUAAGGUGGCUUCUCAGAUUGAAAAAAGUUACAUUGAAUCUAAGGCUUUCUCAACUACAAAAUCACCGAACUUUUAACACAUCUAAUUUUAAAAGCCAAUAAUAGAUAUGAUCUGUGUCACUAAGUUAAGACAAUAAAGGUUCUAGUAGAACUUCAGGAAAAGUUAAGAGAAGUAAAUCAAAUUUUUGAGCUUAAUUCAUUCCUUUUUAUGAUGCAUCUGGCUUAUUUCUUGCUUUUGAUGAUUAGCUGAAGCAAGGAAAGGUUAAAGAGAUUUUACAGAUUGCUUAAACACAUUCCUGCAUUUCAGGUAUCAAUCUUGAUAGCAAAUCUUAAAAGCUAACUUUUUGCAUUAUAUUUUCAGUAUAUACAAUGUCAGCACAGUGGUAAUGUGGGCUAGAGUUUAUUAUAUUAGAUUGUAAGAAAUUUGUGAUUAACGCUACAAACCAGUACUUUACCCAGCGUUAAGCCACACCACUCACCAAAUAUGAAGACAUCAAAGAAGUUCGGAGCUUAAUUUAAAUGAUAUGAGAAGUUUGCCUGGGAAUUGAGAGGAGCCUGCUGAUUGGAAUGGUUCAUCAUGCCUUUCUAAUAUGAAUUCGCAAAACUGUGAUAUGGGUAGAAUUCUUAUGAAGUGUGGCGUUCCCUUCCUGAAAGUAGGUUUAAUGCACAAUGUGGUACUGUUUUAUAGUUUCUAGAUGGUUGUAUAAAGCAAAAAGUUAAUGUGGUUAUGUGUUUUUAAAAGAAAAUAAGUGAUUGGUUAAAAAAAAAACUGUUCUUUUUUCAUUAUUACAAGCUUUCUCUGUUUU
ensembl:lncRNA